rnacentral:rRNA from 1 species
CCUACGGGAGGCAGCAGUUAGGAAUCUUCCACAAUGGGCGCAAGCCUGAUGGAGCGACGCCGCGUGAGGGAUGAAGGUUUUCGGAUCGUAAACCUCUGAAUCAGGGACGAAAGACCAGCUUGACUGGAGAUGACGGUACCUGAGUAAUAGCACCGGCUAACUCCGUGCCAGCAGCCGCGGUAAUACGUAGGUGCCAGCAGCCGCGGUAAU